CCUACGGGAGGCAGCAGUGAGGAAUAUUGGUCAAUGGACGCGAGCCUGAACCAGCCAAGUAGCGUGAAGGAUGACUGCCCUACGGGUUGUAAACUUCUUUUAUUAAGGAAUAAAGUGAGGCACGUGUGCCUUUUUGUAUGUACUUUAUGAAUAAGGGUCGGCUAUAUCCGUGCCAGCAGCCUCGGGAAUACGGAGGAUCCGAGCGUUAUCCGGAUUUAUUGGGUUUAAAGGGAGCGUAGAUGGGUUGUUAAGUCAGUUGUGAAAGUUUGCGGCUCAACCGUAAAAUUGCAAUUGAUACUGGCAGCCUUGAGUACAGUUGAGGUAGGCGGAAUUCGUGGUGUAGCGGUGAAAUGCUUAGAUAUCACGAAGAACUCCGAUUGCGAAGGCAGCUGACUAAGCUGCCACUGACAUUGAUGCUCGAAAGUGUGGGUAUCAAACAGGAUUAGAUACCCUUGUAGUC
rnacentral:rRNA from 1 species